rnacentral:rRNA from 1 species
GCCUUUCGGGGUACACGAGCGGCGAACGGGUGAGUAACACGUGGGUGAUCUGCCCUGCACUUCGGGAUAAGCCUGGGAAACUGGGUCUAAUACCGGAUAUGACCUCCUAUCGCAUGGUGGGUGGUGGAAAGAUUUAUCGGUGCAGGAUGGGCCCGCGGCCUAUCAGCUUGUUGGUGGGGUAAUGGCCUACCAAGGCGACGACGGGUAGCCGACCUGAGAGGGUGACCGGCCACACUGGGACUGAGACACGGCCCAGACUCCUACGGGAGGCAGCAGUGGGGAAUAUUGCACAAUGGGCGAAAGCCUGAUGCAGCGACGCCGCGUGAGGGAUGACGGCCUUCGGGUUGUAAACCUCUUUCAGCAGGGACGAAGCGCAAGUGACGGUACCUGCAGAAGAAGCACCGGCUAACUACGUGCCAGCAGCCGCGGUAAUACGUAGGGUGCAAGCGUUGUCCGGAAUUACUGGGCGUAAAGAGUUCGUAGGCGGUUUGUCGCGUCGUUUGUGAAAACCAGCAGCUCAACUGCUGGCUUGCAGGCGAUACGGGCAGACUUGAGUACUGCAGGGGAGACUGGAAUUCCUGGUGUAGCGGGUGAAAUGCGCAGAUAUCAGGAGGAACACCGGUGGCGAAGGCGGGUCUUUGGGGCAGUAACUGAC